rnacentral:rRNA from 1 species
CACGUAGGGGACGAGCGUUGUCCGGAAUCAUUGGGCGUAAAGCGCGCGUAGGCGGCCCGGAAAGUCGGAUGUGAAAUCCCGGGGCUCAACCCCGGGCCUGCAUCCGAUACUCCCGGGCUGGAGGCAGGUAGGGGAGAUCGGAAUUCCUGGUGUAGCGGUGAAAUGCGCAGAUAUCAGGAGGAACACCGGUGGCGAAGGCGGAUCUCUGGGCCUUACCUGACGCUGAGGCGCGAAGGCCAGGGGAGCAAACGGG